rnacentral:rRNA from 1 species
GACGAACGCUGGCGGCGUGCUUAAUACAUGCAAGUCGAACGGAAAGGUCCUGCCUUUGUGGGGUGCUCGAGUGGCGAACGGGGGAGUAACACGUGAGUAACCUGCCCUUUACUUUGAGAUAACCUCAGGAAACUGGGGCUAAUACCGGAUAGGAGCUCCUGCUGCAUGGUGGGGGCUGGAAAGUUUCGGCGGUUGGGGAUGGACUCGCGGCCUAUCAGCUUGUUGGUUGGGUAGUGGCUUAGCAAGGCCUUGACAGGUAGCCGGCCUGGGAGGAUGAGCGGCCACAUUAGAACUGAGAUGCGGCCCAGACUAGUACGGGAGGCAACGGUGGAGAAUAUUACACAAGGGGCGGAAGCCUGAUGCAGCAACGCAGCGUGCGGGAUGACGGCCUUCGGGUUGUGUACCGCUUUCGCCUGUGACGAGGCGUGAAUGACAGUAAUGGGUAAAGAAGCUCCGGCUAACUACGUG